CCGUUCCGCGCACAAAGGAGCAAGCGACACAACAGAUUCAAUCAAACAACAUACCAGGUUUAUUGUGUCUUCGAACAGCCGAGCAAACGACGAACCCUUCUUUCCGCAAUUCUACAACGGCCAAGAAUGCACAAGGCCAGGCUACCUGCCUUAAAUAAAAAAAGGUCUCGCCUCCCGAGUUCGUAGCACGGCAUGCCCGCAUAUCUGGCAGUUUAGCUUUUAGACGGCGGGUGGCAGCGACUUCGCGACGAAGUCAUGUGAUAGAGCCGAGUCACGUGGGGCUCCGCUAACGGAGCGCACACGGUGAGUCCCGCCGUGCACUUCUCUCAUAUCCACCGUCGUUCCUCUUUGAUAUCGCACGCCGUAAUUGCCACGAGAGUUAUGGCUGAGCAGAAAGAGUGUAGUGUCUAUCUGUUCCACAGAGUCUUGGAAGAGCGUUCGGCGGGUAUUCUGCGUAGCGUAUCGUCGUCUUCGAAGCAGCUUCAGCACUGGAUGGUCUACUUUAUUUUUGAUGACGGAACAGUUCUAGAGUGUGAUGGAGAAGAGGACGCUACCUCCAAGAAACUGCGUGGGAAUGCACGGGUGAUAAGUCGCAGCGAUGUGGAGCCUUUAAGAAAAAACAUGAAACUAUUGAAGGAGGGUGCUCGUCUCUCGAAAGAAGUCAUCAGAGAAGCGGUGGACAAAAUGAACCUGAAUUGCGAGAAGUAUGACCUUGUCGGCAACAACUGCCAGCACUGGACCAAAAGGCUGCUCGUAAAGCUGGAUGUACCAGUGUCUGACGUCGAUAUAAAGGAAGCCUCUGCCAUUGGAGUCGGCGUAGUUGGAGGAGCCGUAGCUACAGUUGCAGCUACAGCCUUGUUCAAGUCCGCGUCUGGCAAAUGAAAAAAACUAAAGACCUUCAGGGUUGCCUGCCUCGAUAAUUAAAUGUGUUCUAUCGA